CUCUGCUCUCCACUAAGCAUUGUAUUUUGUAAAAUCAAAGCAUUAAACAAAUUUUUUUUAUGACACGGAAAUAUUAAAAUGAUAAAUAGUAAUAUACCAAACCAGCAGGCUUUCUGUUUCUUCUUUCUUCUGUUUACUGGCCGAGCGUCAAUUAGUACACAAAAUAAAGUUUUCUAUAUCCCAACAUAAAUCCAUAGGCUAUAUAUCAUUUCACCUGAAAUCAAAUCUAUUUACCACAUCAGUUAUUCUUCACCUCUGUCCUAGAAUUUGUUUUACAUGCAUGAAACUGAUUUUGUUUAAAUUUUUUCGUGUCAUUAAUCCAUUAGUUUCAUGUUUUAAAGUUUAAACUAUUUGUUGAAAGUCAAUCUUCUAGAACUUCUAGGUAACGAGUAAAUUUUGUGGUUUUAUUUUCUGCUGCAUUUCAUUGAGAGAUAUUGAGGCAUUAGACACUCGGACAAGAACAUAGAGACACAAAAAUUAGUUUCUUUGUGUUUUGUUUGGCAAUAAUUUAAAUACAAAUACAGAACAAAAUAUUAGAAGUCUUUUUUACCCUUGUCAUCUUCCUCUAACAUUCUCACCAUCUGCAUUCUCCACCAUCCACUACCACUGCCACCAUCCUUAUGAAACAUCAACUAAAACAAACAAUCACCAACUAUAACUACUUCAACAUUAAAAAAAAAGAAAACAAAAAGACAAAUUUCAGGGUGAAACAAAGACAGGGCUGAUGGCUGAGGGGUCGGGGAUGGAAAGAAAGAUGAAGACGACGAAGCCUGAGAAGACAUAGAUUAAGAAAUAAGAAGCAAACAAGGAGAUGUUGUCAAUGCUCAUAGAGGAAACAACGCCAUCGCUCCCAAAUGUCGCAGAAAAGACGAAUCAGAUCUGGAACUCUUCUGUGGCCAACGUGGAAGCCAAGAUCGACCCCCUUCAGUCACAACUCCUCUCAGUGGCCACUGCCAUCAUCCAAUCUUCAUUCGUGUCCACUGCCAAUCUAGCCUUGAACAGUGGAGGAAGGUGAAGAUGGACGAUCUGUGUGUGUUGAAGAGAAAAAUUAGGAUCAUAUAAAUGUGGAUAUAAAAUUUUGAUAAGGAUAAUAAGGGGAACUCUUUUGUUUUUAAUUAAUGUCUCUUGUUUGGAGGUACACAAAACUCUAUUUUAUCGUCCAAGGACAUAGUAUGUUGCGCUUGUCUCUCGUUCCAAACUUAUUUGUGUCUCGAUAUGCAUAUCUUAAUAUCUUGUCCUUGAAAACAAAUGCAGCCAUCAUGAUUAAGGAAUAAAUAAGUGAGGAGAAUGGCAACGAUGCAGUAUUUUCAGUAUAGAUGACUGGAAAUGGAACCGGUAUAGAUGACUGUGCACAUGGAACUGAACAGUGCAAGUAACUCAGCUGCUAGGGACUGCAAGUAGCAAAAAUAUUUACAGAUCGUAUUUCUUAUAGUAUAAUCAUUUGUGUUAUGAUAGAAACCGAGGUUAUAGCAUGUAUGUGAUUGUUCAAAUGAAUAAAAUCUUGUAAUAAGAAUGCAACCUAUUGAAUGCAAUUUGUGUUGUAACUGGCAAAUAUAAAACAUGCUUCUGUGA